rnacentral:lncRNA from 1 species
AAAACAGAGAGAGUUCAUACAAUAUAAUAUCACUCUUGCUGUAAAGAGCAUAGUUGAGAAACAAAGACUUCAUGCAAUUACACAACGUGAUCAAACUGUGAAUGAUAUAUUAGCUAAUCUCGAGGAAAGUUCAAGCGAUUCUUGUUAGUUUUAUUUCAUUUUUCAUUGUAAUCGUUUGUUGUUAGAGUGCUGCUAGACCGUUCAAUAGUCUAACACAUGUCUUCGUCCGUUUAUCAUAUGUCUUCCGUCAUUUUGUCUUCUGCAUAGCCCCCUUUUACCACUAAUGGAACAAGAACGGUAUAUUCUUCCUGAUCGUCUUGCUCAACAUACGAAUAUUGAUGGUGUUAUUUUUAUGUUCCUUUAUCUUCC